GACGAACGCUGGCGGCGUGCUUAACACAUGCAAGUCGAACGGAAAGGCCCUGCUUUUGUGGGGUGCUCGAGUGGCGAACGGGUGAGUAACACGUGAGUAACCUGCCCUUGACUUUGGGAUAACUUCAGGAAACUGGGGCUAAUACCGGAUAGGAGCUCCUGCUGCAUGGUGGGGGUUGGAAAGUUUCGGCGGUUGGGGAUGGACUCGCGGCUUAUCAGCUUGUUGGUGGGGUAGUGGCUUACCAGGGCUUUGACGGGUAGCCGGCCUGAGAGGGGGACCGGCCACAUUGGGACUGAGAUACGGCCCAGACUACUACGGGAGGCAGCAGUGGGGAAUAUUGCACAAUGGGCGGAAGCCUGAUGCAGCAACGCCGCGUGCGGGAUGACGGCCUUCGGGUGGUAAACCGCUUUCGCAUGUGACGAAGCGUGAGUGACGGUAAUGGGUAAAGAAGCACCGGCUAACUACGUG
rnacentral:rRNA from 1 species